AUGCCUUAAACUUAUGAGUAAGGAAAAUAAUGAUUCGGGGUGAUGUGUAAAUCCUCACUGCUAAUGUGAGAUGAAUUUUUGAGUGGGUAAAGGUUACCCCUAAGGUGACCCGUUUACUUUGCCAGAUGCCUGGGUAUAGAGAUCUGCCUG
rnacentral:snRNA from 1 species